rnacentral:rRNA from 1 species
UGCCUAAUACAUGCAAGUCGAGCGAACUGAUUAGAAGCUUGCUUCUAUGACGUUAGCGGCGGACGGGUGAGUAACACGUGGGCAACCUGCCUGUAAGACUGGGAUAACUUCGGGAAACCGAAGCUAAUACCGGAUAGGAUCUUCUCCUUCAUGGGAGAUGAUUGAAAGAUGGUUUCGGCUAUCACUUACAGAUGGGCCCGCGGUGCAUUAGCUAGUUGGUGAGGUAACGGCUCACCAAGGCAACGAUGCAUAGCCGACCUGAGAGGGUGAUCGGCCACACUGGGACUGAGACACGGCCCAGACUCCUACGGGAGGCAGCAGUAGGGAAUCUUCCGCAAUGGACGAAAGUCUGACGGAGCAACGCCGCGUGAGUGAUGAAGGCUUUCGGGUCGUAAAACUCUGUUGUUAGGGAAGAACAAGUACGAGAGUAACUGCUCGUACCUUGACGGUACCUAACCAGAAAGCCACGGCUAACUACGUGCCAGCAGCCGCGG